rnacentral:tRNA from 1 species
GGCGCUAUCGUCUAGUGGUCAGGACGGGUGAUUCUCAGUCAUCAAACCGGGGUUCGACUCCCCGUAGCGCUGCCA